rnacentral:rRNA from 1 species
AUACAGAGACCUCAAACGUUGUCCGGAUUUAUUGGGCGUAAAGGGUCCGCAGGCGGCUAUGUGCGUCGGGAGUUAAAUGUCGGGGCUCAACUUCGACACUGCUUUCGAUACGGCAUAGCUAGAGGCCGGAAUAGGCACACGGAAUUGCCGGUGUAGUAGUAAUAUGCGUUAAUAUCGGCAAGAACGCCAAAUGCGAAAGCAGUGUGCUGGUACGGUUCUGACGCUCAGGGACGAAAGCGUGGGGAGCAAAAGGGAUUAGAUACCCCUGUAGUCCACGCCCUAAACUAUGGAUGCUAGAUAUUGGGAGUAUCGACCCUCCCAGUGUCGGCGAAAAAAGCUAACGCAUUAAGCAUCCCGCCUGGGGAGUACGGCCGCAAGGCUAAA